AAGUAAACAAACUUUAAAAAAAAAAAAUUAAGUGAAAAUCUAACAGAAAAGCAUGGUAUUAGCUGGUUCCACAACCUGAAGGACAUCAAUGUAACGUCACGUCUAUCUUGACGCUAGUGAUUAUGAGUUGGUUUGCUGAGACAUAACAGCUGAUAAGAAUUUUAAGCAAACUUUUUAUUUUAGUUUAUUGACGUUUAUAAAAUAACUUACUUCAGUAACAGCGCUCUCACGUUCCGCAGCCCACGAACACUCUCCGGAAGUAAACUAUGAAAAUAAAGCCACAAUAAACCAAUGAAAGCGGGCGAACAAUGUCAGAGAACCAAUCAGGAGAGAGAUAGUUGGAAGGUGAAGACGCCAUUUUGGCCCGUGUAGCAACGUCGAACAAGUGAAGCGAUGUCCUUUAGGGGUCAAAGAAUAUAUUCAUAUACAUUUUUGUUAAAAUUAUAGCACAAAGGUGUGCCACGAAGAUUACAAGUUCAGUUUGGCGAGUGAUUUCUGUUGAGCUGGACCUGUUCGCCAUUGAUAGUUGGUCGGUAGGUGGCGCAUUGCGGAAGAAGUCGGAUUAGCUAGCCAACCGUCUUCCGGUUAACUUCCGAUGCAGCACAUCUAAAAUUAGAAUUAGAGUACCUGUCUAUGUAAUAUAAACUUUCAGAUUAUUACAUAGUAUACAUAUUACAUAGUUAUUCACACACGUGUUGUCAAUUUAAACAACUGUGCUAUUAUAGGCCACCAAACGUGCCAACGGUUCUCCAUGCAGGGGACAACAACAUCAGCGACGACGACACACAACGCUUCACGGUGGUCUACCGAGGUGAAAGACCGAGUUAUUCCUGUCCGCGUAAGUCCCUGUGCACUUCUGUGUUUUUAAUGGUGUCGUGACAGUUGCCAUUAAAACGCACUGGAUGAAUCCUGCACGGUGUGUAAUGAAGGAGAGAUGCCAGCAGCUGUUAGCCUCAAGUUGCCUUAAACGGGGGUGAUCCGGGAUUAUACAGGUGAAUUAUGUGACGGUGUUCUACCUCGACCUUCUUAUAUUAGUGCUGUGACCUCGGGAUGCUUUGUUAAAAGCAGUCUUCUAGAUACAGUCAUGCUAUUGAUUAGACGUCAG
rnacentral:lncRNA from 1 species